GGAUGGGUGAGGAGCAUGGGAUUAAGUAGGGACCUCUGUCCUAGUAUUAUUUUCUCUGUUGAAUUCAUCCUACCAGUUGCUGAGCUCUUUAUUUGCACACAUCAGCCUUUUAGGAAGGAUCUCCAGGAAUCCUGUGGGGAGAGGCUGGUGCUGGGGGAAGACAGAGGAAUGCCUGGAGAGGACAGAAGUGAGACUACACCUGUUGGUCUGGAUUGCAGCUGGAAUUGGAAGGGAAAUGCAUUUCCAUUGAAGGAAGAAGUGUAACAGUGAGCAGGCAGGUGUCAGCGGAUCUCAAGAGAAUAAUGUCAACUGGACAAUGGCUUAGAGGCAGGAGGAGGCAGAUCAGCUAGGCAGAUGUGCAGAAGUUAAGUGUGGUUUCAUGCAGAAACUUCCAAAUGGAUUCAAGAGCCAAAGCCUUCAAGAAGUUGGUGUCAUUGUCACUUGGAAUAUGUUUG
rnacentral:lncRNA from 1 species